UUGCCAGCCCGCUCAGAAACUUAAAGGAAGUUGACGGGGCCCGCACAAGCGGUGGAGCAUGUGGUUUAAUUCGAUGAUACGCGAGGAACCUUACCUGGGCUCAAAUGUAUGUUGACGUAUUCUGAAAGGGAUACUUCUUCGGACAAUAUACAAGGUGCUGCAUGGUUGUCGUCAGCUCGUGCCGUGAGGUGUCGGGUUAAGUCCCAUAACGAGCGCAACCCUAUCAUUAGUUGCCAUCAGGUCAAGCUGGGGACUCUAAUGAAACUGCCUACGCAAGUAGUGAGGAAGGUGGGGAUGACGUCAAAUCAGCACGGCCCUUACGUCCAGGGCUACACACGUGCUACAAUGGCCGGUACAAAGGGCAGCUACUUGGUGACAGGAUGUUAAUCUCAAAAGCCGGUCUCAGUACGGAUUGGAGUCUGAAACUCGACUUCAUGAAGUUGGAAUCGCUAGUAAUCGCGCAUCAGCAUGGCGCGGUGAAUACGUUCCCGGGCCUU
rnacentral:rRNA from 1 species